rnacentral:rRNA from 1 species
UGUUUGGGAAUGCAGCUCUAAGUAGGUGGUAAAUUCCAUCUAAAGCUAAAUAUAAAUGGGAGACCGAUAGCGAACAAGUACCGUGAGGGAAAGAUGCAAAGAACUUUGAAAAGAGAGUUAAAUAGUACCUGAAAUUGCUGAAAUGGAACCGAUGGGAAGCAGUGUCGGCUAGGUAGUACUUGUACUAUUUAGCAAGUCAGGCUUUCCUAAUUAUGUGGGAAAAGCUUCUAAACCUGUAUGGGUUAGUUUUGCUGUCAUGUGAUUGAGAGACUCUGACGAAAUGCUUCUUAUCAACCCGUCUUGAAACACGGACC